AAUCAUUGUCCUCGUCUCUCACUUUCUGCUGGCUCUAACCAUAGCCUGAACUUCUCUGCUGCCUUCUAUUAAACAAACUAUAUAUAAAUGUAUAUAUAUAUACACACACACAUAUAUAUAUAGUUCUUGAAACUAUAUAUAUGUAUAUUUCUUGUGUUAACUUUUCCUUCCAAAACAUGCUCUAUGAUAUACUAUAUAUAUAAAACAACAAACUAUAUAUGUAUGUAUAUCAGAUAACUUUCAUUAUUAUAUAAAAAAGAAAAUUGUUGCAAAAGUUUCUUUUGUCCUUCCAAUGUGCCAAUUACUAUUAUACGUGUGGUAUAAUUUACAGGGAUAAAGAUGUACGUUCACAUGUAUAAUUUCCAGGGGUCAUCAGUAAAAAUUUGGGGGUGCUCGCUCUCAAUAGAUGUGUUUUUAUUUAUUUAUAAUUUAUGCAUGUGCUAUUAAAUGAAUAUAUUGUUUAUAUAAUAAAACAUACUCCAAAAUAAGAUAAAGAUUAAAUUAGAACAGACAGCUUUCUUCUGGCUCUUCUCUCCCCAGUGGUUCCCUAGCACCAGCUCUUCCUACAUAUAUUAACCAACGAUUCAAACAUGUUGUUUUGCUUUUAGAGAAGCUGUUGUCCAGCAGCAUUUAACUUAUAUGCGGAAGUCCACACGCUGGUCUUAAUGAGUUAGCUGUGGGUGGGGACAGCCUUUCACUGUACGAGGAGAUACUUGUCUGUCAGUGAGGAAAAACCUUACUUCUUCACUGUUCAUGGACAACGGCUUAAUUCAGGGUUGGCAAAUAAGUUUUGUCUCACGUGUUGACUUUAUUGAUUCACUGUGUUCAGAAGGAGUCUGAGGCUAGGUCCAGGUUCAUUCAAUUAGUGAGGUCCGCCCUGGAUGAGAGGUAGAGAAGAUGAGAAGUCAUAGCCACCCCCCUACUGCACCCAGUGAGGUGAUUGCACUUUAAGUGGAGCUGGCUGAAGCCUCAAAAACCAAGGGAACGUCACACUCGCAAGUGGGAGAGGAGAUAGAAGGAGGAGCACUUCCUGCUCCAAAGCACAAAACACAUGAUUAUGGCAGGCUUUGGAAGUAUCAGAAAUCAAAUUCACUGCUAAUGAGGCUGUUUGGAAGAAUCAAGACUCCAGAGAAUGGUUAAGUAGAAGCCAGAGGGCCAAGCUAAAUUGUCCAGUAACCUGACUUAGAGUUAAGGGUCAGGAAAUUGGGCUACUACCCAUCAGAUAGGAGGAGCAAGCUGGGUCCUCUGCUCCUUCCCGUUUUGAAUAGUGAAGCAAGAGCAAGUCCAAAGAGACAAGGUGGAUGGGGAUAUGUAUGUAUACUCACAUAUAUGUGACUCAUACUUAUGUGUGUGUGAGUAGAUAUACACACAUGGAGAUCAUAUGCGUCUCACUUCAGUAUAGCUACAUGUACUUGAGGAUCAUAUGCAUCUCACUUGAGUAUAGACAUACACAUGUGCAGAUCAUAUGCAUCUCACUUGGGUAUAGAUACACGCACAUGCAGAUCAUAUACAUCUCACUUGGGUGUAGAUGCAUGCACGUGCAAAUCAUAUACAUCUCACUUGAGCAUAGACACACGCACGUGCGGAUCAUAUGCAUCUCACUUGAGUAUAGACACACGCACGUGUGGAUCAUAUACAUCUCACUUGGGUAUAGAUACACGCACGUGCAGAUCAUACGCAUCUCACUUGAGUAUGGGUACACACAUGCAGAUCAUAUACAUUACACUUGCUUCGUCUAUAUUACAUAUGGAGGAGAACAACUUAAGGAAAGAGCCAGAAGCCCUAUUCCCUUGCUGGUCUGCAUCAGAUAGUCGUCUUUUCUAACUAAUUAGAAGCAAAUGACUAAAGGCAGCCAAUUAAAACUCAAGAU
rnacentral:lncRNA from 1 species